CACCCAUCUGCAUUCUGUGCUCACCUCUUUCACCCUGUAGCAUCCAGAGCUAAGCUGCUUGGUAUUGGUGGGAGCAGGAAGGUGGCAGAGGAGCUGGGUGCUGCCCUGGGAGCUGCCUCUGAUUUAUCACUGCCCAUUUGACACCCGUGGUUGCUGUGAGGAGGAUGCAGCCACUGGCUGUAUCCCAGCAGGAGGCUGGGAAUGUAUUGCACUUGCAAGGUCUCCAAGAUAACCCUCCUGUUCCUGUCACCCUCACUGGGAGUUCAGGGACUAUUUUCCAGGACUUGCCAGGGCCUGUGACUCAGGUGGCUGCUUCUGCCCUGUUGCUGUACCCGCACUGGCUCCCAGCCUUGAUGCUGCUGGGGUGUGGGGUGUGGGGCCUGGCCCCUGGUUUUGUAACCAGUGGGUUGUCAAAACCACAUCUGCUGUCAAGAGACUGGCUCUAGGAGUAGGGGACUGCUGUGGGACACAGGAGAUGACUUCUUGCAGCCAAGAACUAAAGCCCUGGGGGUUUCUAUCUGCUAAGCAAUUGUCCUACCCCAGCUGGGACACCCAGAGGCCAACACCCAGGCUCUGCCAGCCACUAUUGUACUCAUCUCCUGGGGGCUUCACCCACCUUCUUCCAGUGCAGACCCUGCCUUGUCCCUGAUCACAAAGCAUCGGAGAGCAGACCAGCUUGUUCAGAAUCCUGUGAUACUCAGCCAGCGUGCCAUGUGCUGGACACUGGGGGGCCCAGCUGUGCCCCACAUCCCUGUCGAGCCCAUGGAUGCUCCUCCAGGGGUGUGGGGGAGGUCGAUGGAGUGCGAUCACGGGAGUGCCCGCGGGAUGUGGGAUGUGUAUCCCCGGGUGCAGGCGACACAGAGCACCGGGGGCAUGGAGUGCUGGGGACACAAGACACGUGCAGGGGGCUGUGGGACAUGGACAUCGAUACACAGCAGCAUCCAGGUGCGGGUCUCCGUGCGGGGCCGGGGCCGAGGGCGGCUCCCGGUGAGUCACGGCUGCCUCACGCUCCUCCCCGCGCCGCCUCAUAAAGAGCCGCUGUGCCGAGCCGAGCCGACCCGAGCGCAGUGCCCGACCGCGGACUGUCCGUAUGUACCGGAGCGCUGGGCGGACAGCCUUGGGGGGCACCGGCCGCCACCUGAGUGACCGCGGGAGGAGGAUGCUGGGGGAUAAGGGAUAUCCCACACUCGGGGGGUGCUGGACGGAUGCGAGGGUACGGGAUCGUCGCCUUGCGGAGUCCUGGGGGGACCAUGCUGGGUUACCACGGCCAGCUGGGAGGAUGCUGAGAGGACGGACCGUCCCAGGCUCAGAGCCCCUGGGAAGCCCUGCCUGGGUCCUCCUGCUCUGCUGGAGCCUGGCUGCUUGCUGCACAGGUGCCAUGGCCUUGCAGCCGCCCAGCAUCACCGCCCUGCGGAUGCCAGCAGAGCUUCCUCGCCCAGGUGAGAGUGUGACUGUGUCAUGUGAAGCACUGAGUGAGCUUCCAGAGAUGACGCUGCUCUACUGGCUGGAGAACGGCUUCUUCGUGGAGAGCCUGCACCCCGACGGGGCUGUACGUGAGGGGACAGUGCAAGUCUCGGGAGUGCGGAGACCAAAGCUUCGGAUCAACAGGAAGCCUCAGGUGAACUGGAUGCAUGUCAUAGGAGAUCAAAGACCUAACAUGGUUUGUGCUGUUAUGAUGCCUAAGGCAAAGCCUCUGCAGACAAAGGUCAGUGUUUGCAACUGAGUGCCAGAGAUCCUUCACAAUUUAUUAUUCCUACAACACAAGAGCAGUUUGAAUGGUGUUUUGCUAACUGUACAGCCUUGCAAAGUGCUUUGCAAAAUUUUUCUGACACCUCGGGAGGCUGUCCUGAAGGGCAAAGGAACCCAGGAAGGCUGGAUGUGCUGUAAGAAGGAAUCUUCAGGGCACAGAAGCAGGCUACGCUGAAAGAAGAGCCAGAGGGAGGGGAACUUUGUCUGGAACUCAGAGUAAAAAGGAUAGUUUAUAAUAUUUGAAAAAAGGGGCAGCAAGUCAGGAAAUAAACAAGGAUGUGAUGAGGCAGAGAGAAUACAAGAAGAACGGAAGCUCAUCUGGCCACUGCUGUAAAAGACAAUAAAACAAAUGUGUCUAUAAAUACAUUAACCACAAAAUGAGGGCUAAGGAGAAUCUCCUUUACUGGAUGGCUGGGGAAAUCUAGAGACAAAUAAUGAAGAAAAGUCUCAGGUACCUUGAAAGGUGGUGGAGCAGACCAUCCUGAGUGCCAUAAUUUGGCACGUGCAGAACAACCAGGGAUCAGGCCCAGCCAACAUGGGUCUGUGAAAGACAACCUGGCUUGACCAACCUGGCUUUUGUGACAAGAUGACCUGCUUGGUGGGUUGAACAAGCCAGGUGACCUCAGCCGUUCCUCUUAUGACCUUCCAGUUACUCCCUCCAGUUGGAUGACAAACCCAUCUGCUGGCAUCCAGAGAAAGAAGGCUCUUAAGAAGGGGGGUAAAUAAGAGAGAAACAUUUAACAGCUUGUAUUUUUAUGAAUGAGGCUGUCUCUCUCCCUUUCCAGUAACUCUUCAUAGCAGGUAUUUGUGUUUCAAAUUUGUUGCUUUGUAAUUGAGGUGAAGUAACAGAUUCUGCAGUUUGCCUUUCAUGUGUUGCCAUUGUUUAUACACUGUAUCUGCAUGCUGAAGGUAAUAAUCAAUAGUUCUAUGAAUAAUAACCACAAGGAACGGUGGAGUGAUUUUCCUCCAUUUUGCAAAGACUCCUUUAGGCAAAUCUUAAAAGAGGACAGGAAUUUUCAUGGGAAUUAUUCCAGCUGACAGGAUUUGAGACAUUUUAUUUAGUUAAAACUGCUGAGAAGAGCAUUGGAAAAGAAGUCUCAAGGAAAGAGCAUCUAGGACCUCAGUUUUAUUCUGCCAUUUAAUUUAUAAAUAAAGUCAGUGAUACAGUAAGGACAAACUAAAGUAAAUUUACUAUUUCUAUAUAGCUCUGGAGUCUCAAUGGCAAUGAUAACAUUCACUAUCUGAGUGAACAGAGCUGAGACUUUCUGCCCCAAGGUGCUCUGCUCCCGAGUUCCAUUCUCCAUCUGCUUAGUGACCACUAAUAUUUCAUACCAGUUUUUUGAUCUUGCAACUUUCUGCUCUAACUUUUCUCCCCUAAUUUAGGAUCUGAACAAUAGAAAAUCAGGUGCUACUAUAGACUGUAAUUUUCGCAUUAUGUUUUGGGAUUAGGUAAUAUUUAGUUUCAUGUAAUGUUUAACUUGAACUUUUGUCCAGGUCACGUUAGAAAGGUACUGGGAAGUAACCAAAAUUGCUGUAAAACUUUAUUUCCUAACAUUCACUCAGUGUAAGUGCCCCUGUUCCAGGGAGUAGUUGGUUUGACAUACAAAAAAGAAAAUUUAAAAAGGUCUUUAAAAAAUAAAUGUAAGUACUUUAGUAUUGAAGUGCUCAGCUUGAGCCACCAAAGGUAGCUCUGGUUUUUGGACAGUGCUGACCACCCAUCCUUGGGACACCUGGCUUCCCAGAAGUUUGUCCCUUUCUCAGGACACAUGAAUAAACAGGGCUUUGACUGUGCAUACCUUACAAUUACAAAAGUACUUCUUGUAUGAAAGUACAAUUGUGUAUUUGUGAGCCUGCACAUUCAUGCUUUAUGCAUGGAUAUAGACUUGUGGGGUUUUUUUUGAAUACUUGGACUUUAAAUCCCAGGGAGCACAACUCCACCAAUCAUUCUACCUUACAUCUGUGCAAAACAGUUCUUUCCUCACGUGCUGGUAAAGCUUUAUAACACUUCCUUCUCUCUUUUCAUUUAUGUAAAUGCUUAUCCUGAUGCAAUUCAAGUGUGAAUACCCAGGUCAGUGUGUGUCUGCCUUCCCAGACAGCAUGCACUGUGCACACCUCCAAGCUGAAAUAGCGCCAGGUGUGUUCUGGCAAAGCAAAUCCUGCCACUCAUCCUGACCCUCUACUCUUUAUUAGGAAAAGUGCAGGCUGCAUGUAUGAAACACAGCACGAAAAUGAAAUUCUUGUACAUGCUUUCUUUCUGCCCUCUCAGGGUUGGGAAUAACCAGGUUGUGACCUUCAUCUGGGGGGAAAAGGGAGAUAUCACCACUCCCAAUUCUUUGGGAGGAGAGGGUUUCCUCCUUUCUCUUGAGUUUUCUUCUGUUAUUCUGACUCCCUGCAGUUCCAUGUCACAGCCUUCCCUGCUGUAACAUUUGCCUCUGCUGUGGACAGAAGCUCUACAGAGGAUGGACAGGCUUGAGGAUUUUACAGAGAUGUUUAUAGAUGAAUUGCCUCUCCUGAAGUCUGUGUACACCUGAAAAUCAAAAUACCCAUACAGUUAACAUUUCAAGGGUCAGUGUGUUGUUCAAGUUCGGUGCUAUAGUAUUGCCUAUUUUAUCUUGCAUUUUUAUCUUGCUGGGAAGGAAUUUGUUGCACUACCCUUGAGCACUCCACCUCUACAACCCAAUGCCGGUAGCCCAGGCUUCAGCUGCACAAGCACACACAAAUAUAAUUUUCAAGCUAUUGACAACAAGAAUGAACCAUGCAGCAGCCUGAAAGGCUGUAGAACUUUGAUCACAAACUUAUUUGCCUCAAUUUAUUUAUGGACUAACUAAAUAAGUACAGUAUUUGUUUAAGCAAAGAGACUGAAAACAAAAUUCCUCUCAUCAGCCCACUUAGGGAAUUCCUAAAAUUCCCAUGGAAUAAAACCAGCAAAUCCAGCAUUUUGUUUUCCUUAAGACCACGGUCUCCCUAGGGCUUUCUGAUCAGAUUAUGUAGCUAGUCAGAUUAGGUUUAUUCAGGGACUGACUCAUUGCAUUUUCCUGUAAUCUUGUAUUUUAACACCUGCUCAGUUUAAAAUGCCAUUUUAAUCUAAAUUAGAUGGUUUUUCUAUUAAUCCUGUGUGCAUUACUCAAGAUUUAAACUCUUCUUUGCUUAAUACACCACUUUCAGAUAGGCAUAUGUUAGCACAAGUGAUGAAUGAGGGGUUUAAUUAGUUUUUUUCUGAAGAAAGAAUGGAAGAUAACAAUUUUAUAGGCUUGGAACUUCCAUUGAAUUGGGUAAAUAUUCCUUGUGACAGUAGCAUUCUCAUACACAAUUGUCAAAGGCUUUUUAUUGCUUUUUUGCAGUUUUCUUAAUACACAGACCUGCAAUUAGAGGGAAAAAAAAAGUGGAAUUAUCAAAGCAGAUUAAAAAACCCUGAAAUGAUGCUACUACUAAAUAAACAUUGAAAAUCUUCUUUAGCAGUCAAAACCUGUGAAGCAAAAGGAACAGGGAUGGAAUCUUGUGCUAGAAAACUUUUGGGAUAACACGUAAUAAACCAUGGGCUUCCAUGCUGGAUGGAAGACACACAUCUAAAACUGUGCAUGGCUGAAACAAUCAAACAAAUAAUUUGCUGCUAUUUAUAUCUAGUCUGAUUUUCAUUGAGAGGCCCCCCACUCAGGACAAAACAAUGAACAAAUAAUUUACUACAUUUAGAUCACUCAAAAUAGUUUUUUUUCAGAAGCAGGUUUUUGCUACUAGAAGUAAGUAUUUCCCUAAAAUAAUUGGUAUUUUUGCUUGUGCCUAAGCAGAGGAUGCAGCUUCCCUUCUCCCCUCUCUAUUGCAGAGAUUCCAGCUGCAAAGCAGCAGUGGCCUUAUCCCUCCCAGGCCAGCACUGCAGGCUGCAGGUAGCUUCUGGCAUCCAGUUUUCAAUCACUUUUGGUGUGCAAAUGUGCUACCAGUUUUAUUACUCCAGCCACUUUCAAGCAUUGAUGAACACUGGGUAUAAGGUUGGACAAAAUAAUGGUCUAAUCCAGCUGUCUUGAACAAUUAUAUGGAAAUAAAAUAAAAACCAGCUCCCUCUUAGCUUGAGCUUCUGUAGACAAAGGAGUUUGGAGUUAUUCUUUUCAUCAGAAUAGAUGCAUAAAAGCAGGUAGGUUUUGGUUACCCAUCAGUGAGUGAAGAGCAUCCAGAUAAUUUGCCAAGUUCAGAUUUGAAAUCCUAUUCUUGUUUCCUGGGUUCCUGAGUUCAAAAGUCUUCUAAGAUAAACUAGAAAGCUGAAAAAGUCUUCUAUGACUUUUACAGAACUUCUAUACCUGCUACAUUACAUAAAGACGUCAAAUAGCUUAUGGAAGCCAGUUGUAAAAUCCAUUGUUUCAGGUGGAUGGGACUUUGAAUAGUUGUACUGAUUAUACUGGAAGUCUAGCUAAAUUUUACUGAAAAAUUAGGGAAGAGAAGAAAGUAUACCCACCAGUUUUCUGAGAAAAUUGCAUAGAAAAUCUUGACAUUUAGCAUAAUCUGCUGCAUUCUUUGCAUUUCUAUAGGUUAUGCCUAAAACUAUUUUGGUGAGUUCAAGAGAUAAAUUAUCUCUGUUAAGGGAAGUGGGUAAUGCUCAGAGAGCGACCAUGGUGGAAAGAUGCACCACACACACCAUAUUCUCCAGCUUUCUGAAAUAUUUCAUUUUUAAAUUUUGGAGAUGAUGGAGAACAGAACUACAACAGGCAAGAAAAUCAUUCCAUAUUUUAUUUCAUCUUAAUGGUAAUAUUGCAAAAAAGGGCUCUGCAUAUCUCCAAGAGCCCUGCUGAAAGCAAUUCUCCCAUUCCUAAAAAUUAAAGCAAAUAAUUUUCAAGUCUUAAGCCAUGGAAACAGCAAUGUGAUUUGAUUAAGACCCAUAUAAUGCAUAUUUUUCUGAGGAUAGUUGUUAGCUUAAGAAAAGAUGCAUUGCAGGUGACUUUGACACUUCACAGACAUACAAGUCUGAAUAUAUAUUUAACUUCUUGCAUAUCCCUCACCAAAGCCACACAGAAACUAAAUCCUGAGAACCGGAUAGAAAUGUUUCUGAUUUGCAGGGAACAGAGAAGAACAGAUGUAUUUCUGGAGUUUAAAUUUCCUGGAAUGCCAGAAUUUAGACUUUUGUUUGGAUUCAGAUGGAUGGAGCCCAAACGUUAUCUGCUAAGCUAAACCUGAUUGGUUGGCUGCAAACCAGUAGAGAACUUGAAAGGUUCUCCACUCUUCAGGUACUGAGAAAAAAGAGUUAAAACUGAUGAGGAUGCAUCAAAGCAUUUUAGUCUAAUGUCUGAUGAAUAUUAAGCCCUCAAAUGUUAAGUGGAAAAAGCAGUAUCACUCCUUUUGACACAGGUGGGAGUUUGAAUCUCUUUUACCUAGUCCAAACUCAUGCUGUCAACAUUGUCUAGGAUUUCUUACAAAUAGUGCUUCCAACACAGAAAAAUCCAAAUAAUUUAAUUUAGCUGUCAAACUGUGUUGAUGUUACAGACUUCUGGUCUAUCACAACUGUUAGUCACUGGGGACUGAGAAAAUGAGCAGUGUGGAGGUCUAGAAAUAGGAUUUCCCAUGUGAUUAAAUGCUUAGAUAGUGGAAACAUUUCUAGCAAUAAUGAUACUACAACAGCUACAGCUUGUGUGAGUCUGACCUUUGGAGUUAAACACCAGCCAGCAGCUGGACUGGAAUUUCUGGUAUGUUCCACAACAUAGAUUAAAUAUUUGAUUUAAAAACUUAAA